rnacentral:lncRNA from 1 species
UAGAAUCGGCGGGACCAAGAACCAGGUCUGAACAAGGUCGUAUCCAGCAGGCAGCAGAAACCAGACAGGGGCUUCGCAAUGGUCACUGUUACCUACUGCUCAGGAUCACUCUGUGGCCAGGCCUAUGCAUGAAUUCAUAGUGAGGACACCCAUCAACCGGACAGAACCCAACCCAGGGACCCAUCUGAAUGGACUCCACAGUGGACAGCUUCCUGUGAGGCUCCCACACACCCCAGAUGGCAGCACGGUGAGCAUGGGCAGAGCAGGAACCAGCUGUUGGUAUGAUGGUGGUGUCCUAGGAGUCCUCUUAGAAGUCACUGGCUGUGGCUGGAGCAUGGAGAGAGUGUCCUCAAGUCACUUACCUACCAAAGAUCCUUGGAGUUUCUGGUUGGUUGGUACCUAUAAGGAACCCUUCAAAUCUGAAAGCCAGCCAGGUAUGGUGGCAGACAUCUUUAAUCCCAAAAGAAAUAGGCAGAUCUCUAUGAGUUUGAGGCCAGCCUGGUCUACAUAGUGAGUUCCAGGCCAAACAAAAAAAAAAA